AGAAAGUGCUGGCUGAAGAGUGUUCAUUAACAGAAGGAAUUUGAGGAGGAGCAGGACAGGAAGAGACAAAAAGAGAUUCAACAACGUACCAAGCGUAAAGAGCUGAGUUUCCAGGCUGAGGAUGUGAAAGGAAGCGGACAGGAAGAGAAGGGAAGAGGAAGGGCAAGAGCCUGAGAAAACAGAUUGAGAGGCAGAUAGCCAGAGGGACAAUUCACCACUCAUUCCAGCCCUGCAGAAGAAAUUGGACAAGCAUCUAACUCCCAGACCUCCCAGUGCUGCCAGUCAGUUCUCAUCCAGGGCCCUGUCUGAGGGUCCCGGAAUUGGAGCGGAUCGGGAGCCUGUGGUGGCUGCUAGGAGGAUUCAGGAGAAAAAGGAACUGCAUAUAGUAAAUGUGGAUAAAGUGGAGACUUACCUUGAGACAUCUGAGUCGGAGCCCCAACAGGGACUCCUGGUUGCUGCUGCCCCGGGUUUCCCGAUGACGCUUCCUCCGGUUCCAUCUUCUCCUCUUGGAUCACAUCAGGAGAAGGGGAGAGGAAUGAACUAAGCUUC
ensembl:lncRNA